CUGAAAUUCAAAUUUAACUGAGCAACCUGCAUUGCCAUUGCUAUAUUUGGCAAACUGUCUCUUUUCCUUAUCCCUGAAAAUGGCUUUAAAACCCAGCUUACAACUCACUCACUCUCAAAGAGGUCUCACUUAUGUAUAACUUAAACUCCUAAUGUAUACCAAAAACACAGCAGGAUAGUUUUACUGAAUAAAUCUGAAUAUGUUUAUAUAGAUAUAUUUUUUUGUAAAAAAAAACAAGAUUUUGAAUAUACAGCCUUAUAAAUUUGAUAAGGAAUAAUGCAGUGUCUCAUAUAACAUCUUAUAAAAUAGGCUUUAAUUUUAAACAGUUUUUAAAAUAACCACAUUUACUUUUUAAUUAAGGUAGAAACAUAAUGUUUGUUAUGUUUUGUACCAGAGCUGAACACAGUCAAAUCUAAAGGCAAUUUUCCUUGGUAAGACAAUUAUUACUUUUCGCCAACUGACAUAUUUUAAUAUAUGUAUACCUGAUGUCUUACACGUUAUGUUUUCACAAGUAUUUAUUCUCAUUCAUAAGCAGAAAAUGGCCAUGAACUCUAUAAGACAUUGUCUAAUAGCUAAUGCAAUGAGAACAGAGUAGCACCACAAAUAUCGAUAUUGGCAAGAUAUUACUAUUCUAUAAUUCUUUUAGAGUAAUCAAUGAUGUUUAGGUUGCUUACAUUUUAAUUGGAUAAUAUUUUUCUAUCAUAGCAGAAAAUGUUAAAGGUGCAACUAUUUCUUUAAAAGUAAGGCCUAGCCAGUUAUCCCUGAAGCUUGAGUUUUUAAUAAGCUUAUUUUCCCUUAUGCACACUAUACCAUCAACAUAUUUACACACAGAUAAAAGAAAAUGUAGGCUGGGCCUGGUGGCUUACGCUUGUAAUCCUAGCACUUUCGGAGGCCAAGGCCGGCAGAUCUCUUGAAGUUGGGAGUUUGAGACCAGGCUGGCCAACAUGGUGAAACCCAUCUCUACUAAAAAUACAAAAAUUAGUUGGGCAUGGUGGCGCACACUUGUAAUCCCAGCUACUUGGGAGGUUGAGGCCCUAGAAUCUCUGAAACCCAGAAGGCAGAGGUUGCAGUGAGCCGAGAUGGUGCCACUGCACUCCAGCCUGGGCGACAGACCAAGGCUGCCUCUCAAAAAAAAAGAAAGAAAAAGAGAGAGAGAGAGGAAGACUUAUAUUAAGCCAAAAAAAAAAAAAAAAAAAAAAAAACUAAGAAAAAUCCAAGUCUUUUAAAUGUUGACUUUUAAUUUUUAUUUUAUUUUUUUAUUUUUUGAGAUGGAGUCUCACUCUGUUGCUCAGGCUGGAGUGCAGUGGCACAAUCUCGGCUCACUGCAACCUCUGCCUCCCAGGUUCAAGCGAUUCUCCUGCCUCAGCCUCCCCGGUAGCUGGGACUUGGCACGUGCCACCAUGCAUGGCUAAUUUUUUGUAUUUUUAGUAGAGACGGGGUCUCACUGUAUUAGCCAGGAUGGUCUCGGUCUCCUGACCUCGUGAUCCACCCGCCUCAGACUCCCAAAAUGUUGGGAUUACAGGCGUGAGCCACUGCGCCUGGCCCUCAAGUUCGUUUUUAAUUCUGCUUUCCAAACACUUUUUCCGAAAGAGAAAAGCUACGAGCUGAGUAAUGUUACAAAAAGUUGUUACAUGACGUUGGCUGUGAAAUAAAGUAUCUUGAUUGUAUCCAGAUAACAAUGCUAAGUUUAGGAGGAAAAAAACCCAGCAAAAUAAAUUCUGCUAAAAUGUUUCUGAGUUUGAUUUUCCACCUACUGUUGAAUAGAGAAUAUUAUUAUUUUUUUUAAGUUCGCAGUUUUUGGGGAAGAUUGCUCUAAUGCUCAAAAGGAAUUCCAGAAUAAGAUAUAUAACUACUUGUUCUUCCAUGGGAUAA
rnacentral:lncRNA from 10 species